rnacentral:rRNA from 1 species
GUAGGUGGCAAGCGUUGUCCGGAAUUAUUGGGCGUAAAGCGCGCGCAGGCGGUUCUUUAAGUCUGAUGUGAAAGCCCACGGCUCAACCGUGGAGGGUCAUUGGAAACUGGAGAACUUGAGUACAGAAGAGGAAAGCGGAAUUCCACGUGUAGCGGUGAAAUGCGUAGAGAUGUGGAGGAACACCAGUGGCGAAGGCGGCUUUCUGGUCUGUAACUGACGCUGAGGCGCGAAAGCGUGGGGAGCAAACAGGAUUAGAUACCCUGGUAGUCCACGCCGUAAACGAUGAGUGCUAAGUGUUAGGGGGGCUUCCGCCCCCUUAGUGCUGCAGCUAACGCAUUAAGCACUCCCGCCUGGGAGUACGGCCGCAAGGCUG